rnacentral:rRNA from 1 species
GCACAAGCGGUGGAUCAUGUUGUUUAAUUCGACGAUACGCGAAGAACCUUACCAGGUCUUGACAUCCCCUGCAAAGCUAUGGAGACAUAGUGGAGGUUAUCAGGGAGACAGGUGGUGCAUGGUUGUCGUCAGCUCGUGUCGUGAGAUGUUGGGUUAAGUCCCGCAACGAGCGCAACCCUUAUUGCUAGUUACCAUCAUUAAGUUGGGGACUCUAGCGAGACUGCCAGUGAUAAACUGGAGGAAGGUGGGGAUGACGUCAAAUCAUCAUGCCCCUUAUGACCUGGGCUACAAACGUGAUACAAUGGCUGAAACAAAGGGCAGCGAAGGAGCGAUCUGGAGCGAAACCCAAAAAAGCAGUCUCAGUUCGGAUUGAAGUCUGCAACUCGACUUCAUGAAGUCGGAAUCGCUAGUAAUCGCGGAUCAGAACGCCGCGGUGAAUACGUUCUCGGGGUUU